AACGCACGAGACCUGCGGACCUGCGGAGGGAUCAUUACAGAGUGAGGGUCACAUUCAUGGCCCGACCUCCCAACCCUGUGUCUAAUACAAAUAUCGUUGCUUCGGCGGGCCCGUUCAAUUCUGGACCGCCGGAGGACCGUAGUAGGUCCUCUGGCCCGUUGCCCGUCGGUGGCCAACUUGUACAAAUUCUUGAUCAAACCGUGUCUACGUCUGAUUAAAUUGUUAAAUAAAAAGCAAAAA
rnacentral:misc_RNA from 1 species